rnacentral:rRNA from 1 species
UUGAACGCUGGCGGCAUGCUUUACACCUGCCAGUCGAACGGCAGCGCGGGCUUCGGCCUGGCGGCGAGUGGCGAACGGGUGAGUAAUACAUCGGAACGUGCCCAGUAGUGGGGGAUAGCUCGGCGAAAGCCGGAUUAAUACCGCAUACGACCUGAGGGUGAAAGCGGGGGAUCUUCGGACCUCGCGCUAUUGGAGCGGCCGAUGGCAGAUUAGCUAGUUGGUGGGGUAAAGGCCUACCAAGGCGACGAUCUGUAGCUGGUCUGAGAGGACGACCAGCCACACUGGAACUGAGACACGGCCCAGACUCCUACGGGAGGCAGCAGUGGGGAAUUUUGGACAAUGGGCGAAAGCCUGAUCCAGCAAUGCCGCGUGUGUGAUGAAGGCCUUCGGGUUGUAAAGCACUUUUGGCGGGAACGAAAAGGACUGUGCCAAUACCACGGUUCGAUGACGGUACCCGCAGAAUAAGCACCGGCUAACUACGUG